rnacentral:rRNA from 1 species
UACGUAGGGCGCAAGCGUUGUCCGGAAUUACUGGGCGUAAAGUGUGCGCAGGCGGCCGCGCAAGUCGAGUGUGAAAGCCCCGGGCUUAACUUGGGAAUUGCGCUCGAAACUACGUGGCUGGAGUGUGGCAGAGGAAGGUGGAAUUCCACGUGUAGCGGUGAAAUGCGUAGAGAUGUGGAGGAAUACCGAUGGCGAAGGCAGCCCCCUGGGCCAAUACUGACGCUCAUGCACGAAAGCGUGGGGAUCAAACAGG